rnacentral:rRNA from 1 species
GGGAGUACGGUCGCAAGAUUAAAACUCAAAGGAAUUGACGGGGACCCGCACAAGCGGUGGAUGAUGUGGAUUAAUUCGAUGCAACGCGAAAAACCUUACCUACCCUUGACAUGGCUGGAAUCCUCGAGAGAUUGAGGAGUGCUCGAAAGAGAACCAGUACACAGGUGCUGCAUGGCUGUCGUCAGCUCGUGUCGUGAGAUGUUGGGUUAAGUCCCGCAACGAGCGCAACCCUUGUCAUUAGUUGCUACGAAAGGGCACUCUAAUGAGACUGCCGGUGACAAACCGGAGGAAGGUGGGGAUGACGUCAAGUCCUCAUGGCCCUUAUGGGUAGGGCUUCACACGUCAUACAAUGGUACAUACAGAGCGCCGCCAACCCGCGAGGGGGAGCUAAUCGCAGAAAGUGUAUCGUAGUCCGGAUUGUAGUCUGCAACUCGACUGCAUGAAGUUGGAAUCGCUAGUAAUCGCGGAUCAGCAUGUCGCGGUGAAUACGUUCCCGGGUCUUGUACACACCGCCCGUCACACCAUGGGAGCGGGUUUUACCAGAAGUAGGUAGCUUAACCGCAAGGAGGGCGCUUACCACGGUAGGAUUCGUGACUGGGGUGAAGUCGUAACAAGGUAGCCGUAUCGGAAGGUGCGGCUGGAUCACCUCCUUU